rnacentral:rRNA from 1 species
AUUGAACGCUGGCGGCAUGCCUUACACAUGCAAGUCGAACGGCAGCGCGGGCAACCUGGCGGCGAGUGGCGAACGGGUGAGUAACAUAUCGGAACAUACCCUAGAGUGGGGGAUAACGUAGCGAAAGUUACGCUAAUACCGCAUACGCACUAAGGUGGAAAGUGGGGGAUCUUCGGACCUCAUGCUCAUGGAGUGGCCGAUAUCUGAUUAGCUAGUUGGUGAGGUAAAGGCUCACCAAGGCGACGAUCAGUAGCUGGUUUGAGAGAACGACCAGCCACACUGGAACUGAGACACGGUCCAGACUCCUACGGGAGGCAGCAGUGGGGAAUUUUGGACAAUGGGGGCAACCCUGAUCCAGCAAUGCCGCGUGAGUGAAGAAGGCCUCGG